UUUGACCGCUACGCAGUUAAGCACCGAAUAACGUCUGAACUUCGGUGGAGAGCAGUGUAAAUGUGCUGAAGAACGCGGUUACAUGCUAUAGUGAAGAUGACACUGUCUUUCCUCGUCUUGGCCAUGACUCUCUGCAUCCUCCCUGGUGGCGUCAGGGCAGAGAUCUACACCUCCAUCGGUCAAAUGACAGAUCUCAUAUUCAGAGAGAGAGAGCUCGUCCAGUCCCUGAAAGAGUAUAUCCAAACUGAGAAGUCCAGACUUGCUUUUGUCAAAAGUUGGGCAGGUAAGCUGGAUGCACUGACACAACUGUCCACUUCAGACCCUGAGGGGUACCUGGCACACCCAGUCAACGCAUACAAGCUGCUAAAGAGGCUCAACAUGGAGUGGUCAGAACUGGAGAACCUGGUGCUGCAGGAUGUGUCUAAUGGGUUCCUUGCCAAUAUCUUGCUGCAUAAGCAGUUCUUUCCUGAUGAGGAGGACAAGAUAGGAGCGGCUAAGGCACUGAUGCGUCUGCAAGACACAUACAAGCUAGACUCUGAGAUCUUAUCAAGUGGCAAACUGCCAGGUGUGCGGCACAAUGGGUUCCUGACAGUGGAUGACUGUUUUGAUAUGGGAAAGAUUGCCUAUGAUGAAGAAGACCACUAUCAUUCAGCGUUGUGGAUGCAAGAAGUCCUGAGGCGGCUGGAUGCCGGCGAAGACGGUGCCGUAUCCUUGUCCGAAGCUCUGGAUUAUCUCAGCUUCUCUGUCUAUCAGCUGGGGGACCUUCAUCGGAGUGCGGAGCUGAUAAGGCGCUUGGUUUCAAUCGAGCCUAGCCAUCAGAGGGCAUUGGGAAACCUGAACCAUUUAGAGAUGAUGAUGUCCAAGAAGAUAGAGGAUGGCGAGGAGAUGCACCCAAGUCCUGCAACAGAAAGACCCGUCACACUGGAAACCUAUGAGCGUCCUCGUGACCAUCUGCCCGAGAGGGAGACCUACGAGGCCCUAUGCAGAGGAGAGGGUGUUCGAAUGACUGAACAGAGACGCAGCCGCCUCUUCUGCCGCUACCAGGACAGGGGCAGGAACCCGCGACUACUGCUGGCACCCAUGAAGGAGGAGGACGAAUGGGAUAACCCACACAUCGUGCGCUACCUGGACGCCCUGUCCCAGACAGAGAUGGACAGGAUUAAGGAACUUGCCAAACCUGUGCUUGCAAGGGCCACCGUAAGAGAUCCUGUAUCAGGCGUUCUGACAGUAGCAAAUUACAGAGUCUCCAAAAGUGCCUGGCUAGGAGAUGAGGUUGACCCCAUCAUUGCUCGUGUCAGUCAGAGGAUAGAGGACGUAACAGGACUGUCAUUGGAAACAGCCGAAUCCCUCCAGGUUGCGAACUACGGAGUAGGAGGCCAGUAUGAGCCACACUUUGAUUUUUCAAGGGUAAGCUUUGGAUGUAGACUAAUUCAAGUUCGGCGUUCUUUAAACGGGCUACAGUUCCAUCCUUUGUCUUUCAGUGAUUUAACAUUGGCUUCUCAAUGUACAGUUGACCGGGAAACUCGACAUGCCUAUAAACGCAGUUUCACUUUUCUCACUCUUUGUCAAUAAAAUCUUAAAAGUAUACCCGUCUUUAUUUAUUCAAUAAGAUUCAUUGAAAUCCACAAAUAAAGGUAUAAUACAAAAUAUCCAACACUCAUUUUUAUUAACUUCAAAUUGCACUAAGAUUAAAGCUAAAAUGUGAGAAAAAUAUCUUCACAGACUAUUUAUUGCAGAUCCUUGACUAGUUUAUCACCUUAACCAAUUUCAUUCCCACCUCCUUUUUUAUGAAACUCACUCAGAAACACUGGACAUGCACUAUAAACACUGAAAGGGAGUUGCAUGAAGGCAGUCCCACACUCCCAUUCUGUUCUGAAGGCAUUUUAGUGCCAACUAAUAGCCGGCUGUGAAAACAGGUUGUUUUUCCUUUGAAACAGACAAAAAUUUAAGGAAAAAAACUGCAGAAAAUUAAACUUUAUAAAUCAUAAAAAUUUGUAUUUUUUUAAAAUUCGUAACUCAAAUCUUUAACACUGGGAGCCAGUGCCAGUCCGCAUGCAGAAUACUGUUAUGGGUUUCAUGUAUUUCACAGAAGUUACAGAAAGAAUUUUUACUUUAUAAAAAUGGUGUUCUGUUAAUGUAUGAUUUUGUAAAACUUGUUAAUCUACUUUCAGAGAUGGCCCUCAGUACUGCUACAAGCUAUAUCAGUGUAUCAGACCGCAUUAAUUCAGAGGUGAAAAUGUGCUACAUUCUUAAAAUUUUGUUGUUCUAUAUUAUUUGCAUUGUCAUUUUAAUUGAUAACGUUGAUGUUUGAGCUUAAUCUCAAAUGUGAGCACACCAUACCAAAUAUGAAUCUACCAACACACUGUAAGUAAUAGCUUCAGGUGUGCCUGAGAAAGCGGACACUCGACAUUUUUAUGUGCAUUUUGCAACCAGACCAAACUACAAAGAACAUAAACGGUGUAUAUUGAACCUCAUUGACUGUAGGUUUCAUUUACAAUUAAAGAGUUAUUCAUGAAUUUCUUUCAGCGUCCUUUUGACAUCACCCUCAAGGUUGAUGGGAAUAGACUUGCCACCUACUUGAACUAUGUAAGUAUGAAGCUGUAGUCUGUGGAGUGUUCUACCUUUCCCUGGAUUUACUUUCACAUUUUAUCUUCAUAGAAAGAUGAGCCUGAUGCUAUCAAAUCAUUAGGCAGUGGAAAUCUCGAAACUUCUUUUUAAAGUUAAAUGAGCGACGUAGAAGCAGGGGGAGCAACGGUUUUCACGGACAUUGGAGCCGCAAUAUGGCCUAGAAAGGGCACUGCAGUAUUCUGGUACAACCUUUGGAGAAGUGGGGAGG